AAUUCACCCUCGCAUACGCAUAUGCACCGACGUAUGAAGUCGUCGUGACCUAACAACUAACAGCCUGAUUUCUGUAUCUACAAAUAUAGCUUGCUCUCUCUCAUCACCAUCACAGACUCGUAAGCUUCUCUCUCUCCGUCAUUCAUCGUGUGCUGUUGUUUUGUUUUGAAGUAAUUCUAUGGAUACACGUAGAUGGAACCCAGGGUCAUGGGUGUGUACUCGUAAUUGCAUGAGGCCCCUGUAGUUGGCCAGUGUGAGGCAUCUGACCAUCUGUUUCCGCAAUCGACAUAUCUUAAUGAUCGAUUGUAGAAACGGACGGUAGGAUGCCUCACAAAGCCUCACUAUAGGACUCUGUUUUCACAUGGACCCCGUUCCCACGCGUACAUCGGUCCGUGGAGUCCACUUACGGGCCCUACAAGAAAAAUAUGAGUCGUUCAUUAGUUUUCCAAUAAAUCCUGUAGUUAAGUAGCUUUGAAAAAAAAUAGCCCAAUCGGGGAACUGGAAGUCCUUGAUCCAACGUUUCAGUUUAUGUGAACGAAAAUUGAAACAUUGGAUUGAGCACUUGCUAUCAUUCGAAUAAUUAUCUUAAAAUUAAUGAACAAUUCGGAUUACUAGGGCCAAAGAACAUCUGACCUACAGAUACUAACCAUCCUCCAACAACAAUCAUUAAAAUUAUGAAUCUCGAACUUCUCAAAAAUUACUUACCCUUCAACUUUUGAGAGCUGUUGCUUCAAUUCCAAAGACAAGGGGCAAGAAUGAAAUAUCACAGCCUUUUAGUCUAUGAUUUUGUAAAAUAAAAUUAGGCAAACAUUUUGGCACAAGCUGAGUACAUUUUUUGUACUAAAAAUUAAAUUUACCAGAAGUGCAGCUAUGCCUAAAUUUAUCUGUUCUCAUUUGGAAUUGACGAAUUCUAUUUGAAACAGGAACUGCGAUGUUUGGAGCUCUGGAAGGAGACGCGUGGUGUGAAUUUUUGGAGAUGGCACCGUAGGGCUUCUGGUUUACCCCGACGGAUGCCGAGCUGAUGUCCGAUUAUCUGACGAAGACGGCAAAUUCGUUGCCUCUUCCCUUUCCCAUGCUGACGUUUAUUCAAUUCUUCGCUCUCAACCCUGAGGUCUGUUAGGAUACACAUGACCGGCAUCCCUCCUUUAGUCGCUGGUAUUUUUUGACUAAGCGUCUUCCAAAAUACCCUUUGGGUUGCUCAAAUGAAAAGGUAUCAGUUGGGGGUACUCGAGACAACUUAUUAAAACUAAAGAAGUUAAGAAGGAAGACAACUAUUUGGGAUCGAAACAAGCGCUGAAAUUUUGGACCGGGACAAACGAACAUCCAAGUAGCACUUGGUGGAGACUAGAAGAGUACUCAUCAAAGGAAGCUGGUGAUUGGCUUUUAGUAGCAGUUUGGAAGGAUGUAGAAGCUGAAAGAAAAGCUGCUAAAAAUGCUGCAGCAGCUGCUGCUCUAAAUGUUGAAGACUAUGUGGGUGAGGAAGCUGAGGAAAAUGGUGAGAAAAAUGAUGAAGACUAUGCGGGUGUGGAAGCUGAGGGAAAUGGUGAGAAAAGUGAUGAAGGUGAUAAAGUUGCUGAUGGCAAAGAGACUGCCGAAAUUGGUGAAAUAGAUGUGGAAGGUAGAAGCGUUAUACCAUAAUCAUGGAGGGAGAUUCUUACAGAAAAUAUUAGUGAUGAUCUCUAUGCUUGUCUGAUUCAUUAGAAAAUUAGAUGCAUGUAUCCCGGUGGUUAGGGACUUGUUGAAAAUCAAAUACAGGGUUCCCCGCUUUAAAACAAGGCGAACAUUGACUGCUCAAAAAACCUUAGAUGAUUGUGUGGCAUAACUUGGUUUUUUUAGACUAUUGGAAGGAGUGACUCUUAUUUCCCAACUGGUUGUAGAGCCUUUUCCUGUCUUCUACUUGGUAUUGGUAAUUCUGUCUUGUAGCUUUUCACUUGUUUAAGGCAUAGUGUUUUAAACCAUGUUAAGUGCUAAGCUCAUAUGGUAACUGUUGGAUAGCUUGAAAUACAAUAUUGGA